AGAAAAUGAGUCAAGUGCUAAGGAGAUAAAUAGCCCUAUUAAAGUAUACUUGAGUGCUAUCUUUGUCCUGAGGCCAUGGGGAAAAUUUUACAUGGUGAGUUACAAAAUUAGACUUGAACCUUUUAAAAAUCACUUAGUCUUAAUAUGAAGAAUUACUGGAUGGCAAACACCAGAGUCAGGAAGAUUUGUAGCUAAUGUACUGGAAAGCCUACUAAGAAGUAGACAGACUUAAGAGAAAUUGGAUGUGAGAGAUGAAAGAAAAAGAGGAAUCUGGAGUAAUUCCCAGGUUUCCGACUUGGCAGGUGGAAGAUAGUGGUACACAGGAGGAAAAGCAGAUUGUGAUGAUGACAUGGGGUGGAGAUGAUUAUAGGAUACCCAAGAGGAAAUAUAAACAAGCACUAGAUAUAUGGCCCUGAAGCUCAGGAAAAUAAGUCUGAACUAAAACUGUAGGAAUCAAUAUAAGCAUGGUCAUGCCCAUAUUUGAACAAGAUAAGCCACCUCUUAUGAUUAAAUCCCCAGCAAGAAAGUUUUAAACUUACUUUAGUAAGUUAAAAUCCCGCAGUAAUUCUUUGCUCCCCACCUAUUUCUUAUCCUAAACUUGGAGAGUCUUUCUUAGCUGCCUGUGUUUCUUUAACAACUGCCAUCAAAACUGUCUUUAAUGAGUAUAAAUCCUUAGGAUAUCCAAGGCUGAAUUAAUACAAACCCAAGUUUCUCAUAUGCUGUACAUUUAACAAUGUCCAAAGUGUCAAUAUGACACAUAAAGUUAUCACCACACUGGCCCUCCUUUCACAAAGUUUAGAAUCUUCAUCGCUACAGAAUCAAGCAAAAUCACCAAGCAAAAAUACAGUCCAGACCUACAUUA
rnacentral:lncRNA from 10 species